AUGCUUUGCUAAAUUAUCUUUUGGGUCACACUUUGUGGUGUGUCACUUUACAAGUGAAGCUAGAAAGAUUGUUCCUCUCGCUAUCCUUUGCUCCUUUCGUGGUGUAUUUGGACGUUGGGGAACUACAUUA